rnacentral:rRNA from 1 species
GAAUCAACGCUGGCGGCGUGCCUAAUACAUGCAAGUCGUACGCGAAGACCCCGCAAGGGGUUUGUAGCGUGGCAAACGGGUGAGUAACGCGUGGGCGACCUGCCCUCGAGUGGGGGAUAACCUUCCGAAAGGAGGGCUAAUACCGCAUGAUAUGCCGUGUUUGGAUACAUGGACAUCAAAGCCGGGGAUCGCAAGACCUGGCGCUUGAGGAGGGGCCUACGUUCGAUUAGCUAGUUGGUGAGGUAACGGCUCACCAAGGCGACGAUCGAUAUCCGGCCUGAGAGGGCGGACGGACACACUGGGACUGAGACACGGCCCAGACUCCUACGGGAGGCAGCAGUAGGGAAUUGUUCGCAAUGGGCGCAAGCCUGACGACGCAACGCCGCGUGGAGGAUGAAGACCUUCGGGUCGUAAACUCCUUUCGACCGAGAUGAACACCUGUCGACCUAAUACGUUGACAGGCUGACAGUACCGAGGGAAGAAGCCCCGGCUAACUCCGUGCCAGCAGCCGCGGUAAUACGGGGGGGGCAAGCGUUGUUCGGAAUUACUGGGCGUAAAGGGUUCGUAGGUGGCCAACUAAGUCAGACGUGAAAUCCCUCAGCUUAACUGGGGAACUGCGUCUGAUACUGGUUGGCUUGAGUGCAGGAGAGGAACGCGGAAUUCCAGGUGUAGCGGUGAAAUGCGUAGAUAUCUGGAGGGACACCGGUGGCGAAGGCGGCGUUCUGGACUGCAACUGACACUGAGGAACGAAAGCCAGGGGAGCAAACGGGAUUAGAUACCCCGGUAGUCCUGGCCCUAAACGAUGAAUGCUUGGUGUGGCGGGUAUCGAUCCCUGCCGUGCCGAAGUUAACG